GGGGCCGUUUAGGAUUCGACGCCGGUCGCGAAACUUUAGGUGCAUGCCGAGUUGGUAACAGAACUCGUAAAUCCACUGUUGCAACUUCUUAUAGUUGCCAAUGACGAAAACUACGGCCAGGAAUUCGCUCUCGCUGCGUAAGCAGCC
rnacentral:tmRNA from 2 species